AGGUGCGAUCAUACCAGCACUAAUGCACCGGAUCCCAUCAGAACUUCGCAGUGAAGCGUGCUUGAGCGAGAGUAGUACUAGGAUGGGUGACCUCCUGGGAAGUCCUCGUGUUGCACUUC
rnacentral:rRNA from 1 species